rnacentral:rRNA from 1 species
GUGCCUAACACAUGCAAGUCGAGCGGGAACCUCGGGAGGGGCAACCCUUCCGAGGGGAGAGCGGCGAACGGGCGAGUAACACGUGGGCAACCUGCCCCGGACACCGGGAUAACCCAGGGAAACCUGAGCUAAUACCGGAUACUCCGGCGUGAUCGCAUGGUCGCGCCGGGAAAGCCCCAACGGUCCGGGAUGGGCCCGCGGCCUAUCAGCUUGUUGGUGGGGUGAUGGCCUACCAAGGCGACGACGGAUAGCCGGCCUGAGAGGGUGAUCGGCCACACUGGGACUGAGACACGGCCCAGACUCCUACGGGAGGCAGCAGUGGGGAAUCUUGCGCAAUGGGCGGAAGCCUGACGCAGCAACGCCGCGUGGGGGAUGACGGCCUUCGGGUUGUAAACCUCUUUCGCGAUCGACGAAGGCCCACUUUCUGUGGGUUGACGGUAGGUCGAGAAGAAGCACCGGCCAACUACGUGCCAGCCGCCGCCGUAA